rnacentral:rRNA from 1 species
UACAGAGGGUGCGAGCGUUAAUCGGAAUUACUGGGCGUAAAGGGCGCGUAGGCGGUGUAUUAAGUUAGAUGUGAAAUCCCUGGGCUUAACCUAGGAACUGCAUCUAAUACUGGUACGCUAGAGUGCGGUAGAGGAUAGUGGAAUUUCCGGUGUAGCGGUGAAAUGCGUAGAUAUCGGAAGGAACACCAGUGGCGAAGGCGGCUAUCUGGACUGACACUGACGCUGAGGCGCGAAAGCGUGGGGAGCAAACAGG